rnacentral:rRNA from 1 species
UACAUAGGGUCCGAGCGUUGUCCGGAAUUACUGGGCGUAAAGAGCUCGUAGGUGGUUUGUCGCGUUGUUCGUGAAAACUCACAGCUCAACUGUGGGCGUGCGGGCGAUACGGGCAGACUGGAGUACUGCAGGGGAGACUGGAAUUCCUGGUGUAGCGGUGGAAUGCGCAGAUAUCAGGAGGAACACCGAUGGCGAAGGCAGUUCUCUUGGGCCGUGA